rfam:Exophiala mesophila strain CBS 40295 unplaced genomic scaffold supercont1.3, whole genome shotgun sequence.
GACAGUUUGGCCGAGUGGUUAAGGCGACAGACUCGAACUAUGGUUGUGAAUCGUCAUAAUCAUGAUAGUGAUCUGUUGGGUUCGCCCGCACAGGUUCAAAUCCUGUAGCUGUCG